rnacentral:misc_RNA from 1 species
GAAAUGCGAUAAGUAAUGUGAAUUGCAGAAUUCAGUGAAUCAUCGAAUCCUUGAACGCACAUUGCGCCCGGCAGCAAUCUGCCGGGCAUGCCUGUCCGAGCGUCAUUUCUGCCCUCGAGCGCGGUUCGGCCCCUAGCGGGCCGGCCGCCGCCCGGUGUUGGGGCGCUGCGGGCCCUCGUGCCCGCAGGCCCUGAAAUGAAGUGGCGGUCCCGCCGCGGCGCCCCCUGCGUAGUAGUAAAGCACCUCGCAUCGGGUCCCGGCGGAGGCCAGCCGUCGAACCUCUCUUUUGAUGGUUUGACCUCGGAUCAGGUAGGGUUACCCGCUGAACUUAAGC